CAGCCGCCGCGGUAAUACGAAGGUCCCGAGCGUUGUUCGGAAUCACUGGGCGUAAAGGGAGCGUAGGCGGCGUGGUAAGUCAGAUGUGAAAUCCCGGGGCUCAGCCCCGGAACUGCAUCCGAUACUGCCAUGCUAGAGGAUUGGAGAGGUAGCUGGAAUUCUAGGUGUAGCAGUGAAAUGCGUGGAGAUCAAGAGGAACACUCGUGGCGAAAGCGAGCUACUGGACAAUAACUGACGCUGAGGCUCGAAGGCCAGGGUAGCGAAAGGGAUUAGAUACCCCUGUAGUCCCUGUCUCUUAUAC
rnacentral:rRNA from 1 species